rnacentral:rRNA from 1 species
GAGGAGGAAAGCGGGGGACCUUAGGGCCUCGCGUUAUUCGAGCGGCCGACGUCUGAUUAGCUAGUUGGCGGGGUAAGAGCCCACCAAGGCGACGAUCAGUAGCGGGUCUGAGAGGAUGAUCCGCCACACUGGGACUGAGACACGGCCCAGACUCCUACGGGAGGCAGCAGUGGGGAAUUUUGGACAAUGGGGGCAACCCUGAUCCAGCCAUGCCGCGUGUCUGAAGAAGGCCUUCGGGUUGUAAAGGACUUUUGUCAGGGAGGAAAACGCAUUCGCGAAUAACGGAUGUGGAUGACAGUACCUGAAGAAUAAGCACCGGCUAACUACGUGCCAGCAGCCGCGGUAAUACGUAGGGUGCAAGCGUUAAUCGGAAUUACUGGGCGUAAAGCGUGCGCAGGCGGUUUUGCAAGUCUGAUGUGAAAGCCCCGGGCUCAACCUGGGAACGGCAUUGGAGACUGCAA